UGGAUCACACCCCAAAAACGGUGGUAGAAAGAUUCCUACCGUUGAAACAUUCUAAGCCCACCAUGACUAUGGUGUGUAUUUUCCAUCCAAACCGUUCAUAAGCUCACUCAGACCUCGAUGAAGGGAAAGAACAAAUAACAGAUUGAUACAAAAUUUGUGUGACCCCCUGGAAGGUUUCAGUGAUAAACGUUCAAUCCUCACUACUUUCUGAAGUGUGGUCCGUUUGAAAUCUGGAUCCAUCUCAUUUUUCUGAUCAAGCUAUGAAAAGAUCUCUUCAAACGGACGGACGGUUUGGAUAUAACACAUACAUCGUAGUGGGGCCCACAGAACUUGGUGACGUCAACACACCACCAAGGUCAGUGGUGUGUGGCACACCACGCAAUGCGUUUCCUAAGAUAAGAGUGAAAAAAAAACUGUCAGCGUUAAAAACCGUCUUCCCCUCGGCUUUUGCCUCUUGCGCCAUCUUUCUUAGAUCUCUUCGUCUGUUCUCUUCUUUUAUCCUUUCUUUCUUUAUUUUCGUUUAGAUCUCUCGCAGAUCUACGUCCUGAUAGGCGUUUUUCCUCCUUUUUUUUUUUUUUAUCAUUUCCCUCCGAUCUCGUCCUCUCUCCAGAUCUAUCUAUUUCAUCUGCAGAUCGAUGGAUUCUUGACGAGAUCUUGCCUCUCUCUCUCUUCGAAAAUCUGAUAUAUCGCCGAUCUACGAUUUAGCGGAGGUUUUGUGUCUUUUCUUUUAGUUUUUCCUUAUAGUUUUUGGUUAUCUUGCAGGUCUUGUUUUUCCCCAUUUGUUUCUCAGGCUUACGAUCUAUUUCCAAAGCAUGAAGGAGAUUUCGCGUAUGAAGAUGGUUGGGUCUGAUCGCUGGAAGGAGGGUUUCUGCCUAUGAAGAUGGUUGGGUCUGAUCGCUGGAAGGAGGGUUUCUGCUUGUGAUCCCUCAUAUGUAGAGGCUGUUGUCGUUUUCAUCAGAUGUCUUGUUUUCGCAGUAAUCGCUCAUCUGAUGCUUCUGGCAUGACUGUAAAUCGACCUUUUUUGGGUUUGAUGUUCCGUUACGUGUAAAGAGAAGCUGUCGGUGCUGGAGAGAUGGAGGCGGAUGUUAGGGUUUCGUUGAAGAUGUUAGAGAUGUAGGAAGCUUGGAAGCGCUUAUACGGCCAUGGAUCUAUGUCAUCCGACCUUUGCCAUGACGGGUGCGCUUGCAUGGCAGGUCAAAGAGCCUAAUAAAAAUUCUCUUUUUCGGGUUUUAGGGGGGAUUGCACGGGCUCUCUUGCCUGGAAUCUCCCCUCUCUUGCGUCCUUUUUUUCCUUUUUCUUUCUUGCGCUAUCCAUUGCUGUGUCAGAUAAUCCGCAAAGAUAACCCAAGCAGACAGAAGACGAUCUCCAACCAAAUUUCAAUUAUUCAUGAAAAGGCACCGACCCAAGAGGUUGUUUUCCCAGGAUUGCUGCUAGCAGAGACCCAUGUAUUUGCCUUCGAGAGGAUUGAUGCCUGUAUUUCCAUUGUCCAGGCCCCCUGAUGUUGAUGUCCUCAUCAGCUUGGUGCUCCUUUUUGUAAGCUGUGCUACCAUAUGAAAUGCUACCUAGUAUGAAGAUGUAUUUCGAUGGGAGCAUGACAGGAUGUGUGUUUGUACACCUUUCCAUCUGAGAUGCUCACCCUGCCUGGCCGCGUCAUGCUGUGUUAUGUUGGGAGGGCUUGUUGGGACCUUUUCUUUUAGCUAUUUAUGUGGACCCCCCAGGAGAGAAGACUGGUGGUUCUGCACCAGAGGAGGCAUAAAAUCCAGCAUUGUUCUGCAGCUCUAUUGCUUCAUAAGUAUCUUUUUUAUGGGAGGAGGUAUAAAAUCUUGCAUUAUGGUUCUGUACCACUUGUUACUUUAGAAGUAAUUUUCCUUCUUUUUUUGUUAUUGUUGUUUUUCCCAUUGUUUAAAUAGUAGAAUUUGGAAAUACAUACUGUAAUUUUCCUUUUUUGUUGUUGUUGUUGUUUUUCCCAACAGUUUAUGUGGGUCCGUUUAAUAAAUGGAUCUGGCUCGAUUUUAGCUGA